rnacentral:tRNA from 2 species
GCAGCAAUGGCCGAGUGGUUAAGGUGUUGGACUUGAAAUCCAAUGGGGUUUCCCCGCGCAGGUUCGAUCCCUGCUUGCUGCG